rnacentral:lncRNA from 1 species
AAAACCAGUCCAUAAAACAUACAACACAUUUAAGAACGUCAAAGUUAAUUAUGAAAGAUUUCAUGGCCUACCAGGAUCCAUGUUCAUAUGGAAUACUGAGACUCCAGUCAGCAGCUAACCCACAGAAGAUACCAUUCCAGUUUCAUGUCAUUUAUCAGAAUGAUAAGACCAACUGGAAAAGAAAUGUCAGCCUGAUUACAGAGAUUCCUGUUCUACUGUCAGCUAUCAAGCUGGACUGGUGCUCCUUGUAGGGUGUUCCGAGUCUGCAGCUGUUGGCAAAUCAAACACCACUCCAGCCUGAGUGCCGUGGGAAGGGAAUGUUCAUCCCAGGUGUCACCCCAAGUGCCCAGAACACCUUCCACAGACAGGAACAGCACCUCUCCCAUCUUCUGCUGGCAACGCAUUGCAGCCUGAGCUGGGCACUGCUGGUGCCACAAAGGAAAUGAAUCCUUCAUGACUAUUUGCUCCUGAGGAUUCCCAAAAGAGUCAGGUAAUGUAAACUACACAGAUCCUUUGAGAUGUGUCUCUUGUCAGCUAUGAGAAUGGAUUUGAGCCUCACUAUUUUCAAGGAAUACUAGCAAUUAAUACUUUAAUUUGCUUACAGCAUGCAUCUCAGCUCAAAUGAGGGUUAAGAGGAGCAGCUGAGUCACUCAGAUGGCCCCGAUUCCUGCAUUUUAAGCUUAUAAAUCCCGGCUUAACAGGCAUUGGGUGAAAACUUGGCAGACAACUUUGCCCAGUGGCAAAAAAAUAUAAGUAUCUAUUUAAUCCUUGGAACAUUCACAGUCUCCAGACAGCUGACCAAUGAACACUAAACUGCUUUCCCCAAAUAUGCAAUUUGUUGGCAGUCUCCAAAGGGUUAAGG